rnacentral:rRNA from 1 species
UACGAAGGGGGCUAGCGUUGCUCGGAAUCACUGGGCGUAAAGCGCACGUAGGCGGCUUUUAAGUCAGGGGUGAAAUCCCAAGGCUCAACCUUGGAACUGCCUUUGAUACUGGGGAUCUCGAGUCCGGAAGAGGUUGGUGGAACUGCGAGUGUAGAGGUGAAAUUCGUAGAUAUUCGCAAGAACACCAGUGGCGAAGGCGGCCAACUGGUCCGGUACUGACGCUGAGGUGCGAAAGCGUGGGGAGCAAACAGG